UUUUUCUUUCUAGCAUUAUAUGCUAUUGUUAAUCCUCUCAGAUAGGCUUUUGUUGUGUUCCACAAAUUCUGUAAAGAGGUGUGUUCUUUUGUAUUUACUUCAAAAAACAUUUCUAAUUCUCUUUUUAAUUUUGUUAAAUAUUCUUUAUCUCUCAGAAUUUGUGGGUUCAAUGUCCUCUUUGUUUUGAUUGGCCUUUCCAUGUUGCUAUCAGGGGAUUGUGAUCCGCCCAUACAUUUGGUGUUAUUUCUAUUUGCAGUAUGUCUUUCAUUAGGGUUUUACUUAUCCACGCCAUAUCAAUUCUGGACCAUGAUUUGUGGGGAAUGGAAUAAAAGGUGAACUGUUUUUCUUUUGGGUUAUAUAUUCUCCAGAUAUCUAUUAAAUUUUGUUCUUCUGCCAUAUUAAAAAUGUUUUUGGAAGGGUGUUCUUUUUUUUUACUAGUGCUUUGGUAGUCCUUUUUUGUGUCCGCAACUGCGUUAAAAUCUCCUAUCAUACAAAUAUCUUCUUUGCCUAAUUCUAAAAUUUUCUCAUGUAUUUUUCAUAGUAUCUUGUUGUUUAUGAGAAGCAUAAAUUGCAACGAGUAAAAGUUUCCUCUGUUCCCAUACAACUUCUAACAUUAAUGUUCUCCCUACUGAAUCUGCAUAUAGUGCUUCUGCCUCUAUUCCUUUUCUAACACAAAUUGCUACCCCUCUUUUUUUUUCUUGUGCUAGUGCUGUAUAAAGUUUUCCUAAUUUUUUAUAUUGCAAAUAUUUUUUAUCCUGAGUUCUAAUGUGUACCUCCUGGAGGCACACUAUAUCCAUUUUUUGUUUUGCCAAUUUCUUAAAAGUUUGAUUCUGUUUCAAUGGAGAGUUAAGUCCAUUUAUAUUUACUGACAGUAUUUUCAAAUUGUUUUCUAUUUUCUUUCUUUGCUGCUAUAACUAGUUCCUGUUAUUCCUUGCCUCUGUGCUCUUGUUCUUACUCUCUUCUCUUCUUGUGGUCUUUCUUCUCUUUUCUUUUCCUCUUCUUCCUGGUCUUUUCCAUUCUUUUCCAAUUGUUGAUCAUCUUGGCUGACAAAUUCCAGUUCUUCUGUGCUGCUACCAAGUUCUUCUGUGCCUACCAGUUGGGUGUGGAAGUCUCGUGCCUUAUCCAGAGUGUCUAUCUUGAUCUUCUUCCCUUGC